rnacentral:rRNA from 1 species
CCCGACUCCGGGAGGGGCGUAUUUAUUAGAUAAAAAACCAAUGCCCUCCGGGGCUCCCUGGUGAUUCAUGGUAACUCAACGAAUCGCACGGCCUUGCGCCGGCGAUGGUUCAUUCAAAUUUCUGCCCUAUCAACUUUCGAUUGUAGGAUAGAGGCCUACAAUGGUGUCGACGGGUAACGGGGAAUAAGGGUUCGAUUCCGGAGAGGGAGCCUGAGAAACGGCUACCACAUCCAAGGAAGGCAGCAGGCGCGCAAAUUACCCAAUCCCGACUCGGGGAGGUAGUGACAAUAAAUACUGAUACGGGGCUCUUUCGGGUCUCGUAAUUGGAAUGAGUACAAUUUAAACCCCUUAACGAGGAACAAUUGGAGGGCAAGUCUGGUGCCAGCAGCCGCGGUAAUUCCAGCUCCAAUAGCGUAUAUUAAAGUUGUUGCAGUUAAAAAGCUCGUAGUUGAACCUUGGGCCCGGCUGGCCGGUCCGCCUCACCGCUGCACUGGACCGGCCGGGCCUUUCCUCCCGGGGAACCCCAUGCCCUUCGCUGGGCGUGCGGGGGAGCCGGGACUUUUACUUUGAAAAAAUUAGAGUGUUCAAAGCAGGCCUUUGCUCGGA